rnacentral:rRNA from 2 species
UUAAGCGACUAAGCGUACACGGUGGAUGCCCUGGCAGUCAGAGGCGAUGAAGGACGUGCUAAUCUGCGAUAAGCGUCGGUGAGGUGAUAUGAACCGUUAUAACCGGCGAUUUCCGAAUGGGGAAACCCAGUGUGUUUCGACACACUAUCAUUAACUGAAUCCAUAGGUUAAUGAGGCGAACCGGGGGAACUGAAACAUCUAAGUACCCCGAGGAAAAGAAAUCAACCGAGAUUCCCCCAGUAGCGGCGAGCGAACGGGGAGGAGCCCAGAGCCUGAAUCAGUGUGUGUGUUAGUGGAAGCGUCUGGAAAGGCGUGCGAUACAGGGUGACAGCCCCGUACACAAAAAUGCACAUACUGUGAGCUCGAUGAGUAGGGCGGGACACGUGGUAUCCUGUCUGAAUAUGGGGGGACCAUCCUCCAAGGCUAAAUACUCCUGACUGACCGAUAGUGAACCAGUACCGUGAGGGAAAGGCGAAAAGAACCCCGGCGAGGGGAGUGAAAAAGAACCUGAAACCGUGUACGUACAAGCAGUGGGAGCCUCUUAAUGAGGUGACUGCGUACCUUUUGUAUAAUGGGUCAGCGACUUAUAUUCUGUAGCAAGGUUAACCGAAUAGGGGAGCCGAAGGGAAACCGAGUCUUAACUGGGCGUUAAGUUGCAGGGUAUAGACCCGAAACCCGGUGAUCUAGCCAUGGGCAGGUUGAAGGUUGGGUAACACUAACUGGAGGACCGAACCGACUAAUGUUGAAAAAUUAGCGGAUGACUUGUGGCUGGGGGUGAAAGGCCAAUCAAACCGGGAGAUAGCUGGUUCUCCCCGAAAGCUAUUUAGGUAGCGCCUCGUGAAUUCAUCUCCGGGGGUAGAGCACUGUUUCGGCAAGGGGGUCAUCCCGACUUACCAACCCGAUGCAAACUGCGAAUACCGGAGAAUGUUAUCACGGGAGACACACGGCGGGUGCUAACGUCCGUCGUGAAGAGGGAAACAACCCAGACCGCCAGCUAAGGUCCCAAAGUCAUGGUUAAGUGGGAAACGAUGUGGGAAGGCCCAGACAGCCAGGAUGUUGGCUUAGAAGCAGCCAUCAUUUAAAGAAAGCGUAAUAGCUCACUGGUCGAGUCGGCCUGCGCGGAAGAUGUAACGGGGCUAAACCAUGCACCGAAGCUGCGGCAGCGACACUAUGUGUUGUUGGGUAGGGGAGCGUUCUGUAAGCCUGUGAAGGUGGCCUGUGAGGGUUGCUGGAGGUAUCAGAAGUGCGAAUGCUGACAUAAGUAACGAUAAAGCGGGUGAAAAGCCCGCUCGCCGGAAGACCAAGGGUUCCUGUCCAACGUUAAUCGGGGCAGGGUGAGUCGACCCCUAAGGCGAGGCCGAAAGGCGUAGUCGAUGGGAAACAGGUUAAUAUUCCUGUACUUGGUGUUACUGCGAAGGGGGGACGGAGAAGGCUAUGUUGGCCGGGCGACGGUUGUCCCGGUUUAAGCGUGUAGGCUGGUUUUCCAGGCAAAUCCGGAAAACCAAGGCUGAGGCGUGAUGACGAGGCACUACGGUGCUGAAGCGACAAAUGCCCUGCUUCCAGGAAAAGCCUCUAAGCAUCAGGUAACAUCAAAUCGUACCCCAAACCGACACAGGUGGUCAGGUAGAGAAUACCAAGGCGCUUGAGAGAACUCGGGUGAAGGAACUAGGCAAAAUGGUGCCGUAACUUCGGGAGAAGGCACGCUGAUAUGUAGGUGAAGCGACUUGCUCGUGGAGCUGAAAUCAGUCGAAGAUACCAGCUGGCUGCAACUGUUUAUUAAAAACACAGCACUGUGCAAACACGAAAGUGGACGUAUACGGUGUGACGCCUGCCCGGUGCCGGAAGGUUAAUUGAUGGGGUUAGCGGUAACGCGAAGCUCUUGAUCGAAGCCCCGGUAAACGGCGGCCGUAACUAUAACGGUCCUAAGGUAGCGAAAUUCCUUGUCGGGUAAGUUCCGACCUGCACGAAUGGCGUAAUGAUGGCCAGGCUGUCUCCACCCGAGACUCAGUGAAAUUGAACUCGCUGUGAAGAUGCAGUGUACCCGCGGCAAGACGGAAAGACCCCGUGAACCUUUACUAUAGCUUGACACUGAACAUUGAGCCUUGAUGUGUAGGAUAGGUGGGAGGCUUUGAAGUGUGGACGCCAGUCUGCAUGGAGCCGACCUUGAAAUACCACCCUUUAAUGUUUGAUGUUCUAACGUUGGCCCGUAAUCCGGGUUGCGGACAGUGUCUGGUGGGUAGUUUGACUGGGGCGGUCUCCUCCUAAAGAGUAACGGAGGAGCACGAAGGUUGGCUAAUCCUGGUCGGACAUCAGGAGGUUAGUGCAAUGGCAUAAGCCAGCUUGACUGCGAGCGUGACGGCGCGAGCAGGUGCGAAAGCAGGUCAUAGUGAUCCGGUGGUUCUGAAUGGAAGGGCCAUCGCUCAACGGAUAAAAGGUACUCCGGGGAUAACAGGCUGAUACCGCCCAAGAGUUCAUAUCGACGGCGGUGUUUGGCACCUCGAUGUCGGCUCAUCACAUCCUGGGGCUGAAGUAGGUCCCAAGGGUAUGGCUGUUCGCCAUUUAAAGUGGUACGCGAGCUGGGUUUAGAACGUCGUGAGACAGUUCGGUCCCUAUCUGCCGUGGGCGCUGGAGAACUGAGGGGGGCUGCUCCUAGUACGAGAGGACCGGAGUGGACGCAUCACUGGUGUUCGGGUUGUCAUGCCAAUGGCACUGCCCGGUAGCUAAAUGCGGAAGAGAUAAGUGCUGAAAGCAUCUAAGCACGAAACUUGCCCCGAGAUGAGUUCUCCCUGAGACUUAGAGUCUCCUGAAGGAACGUUGAAGACGACGACGUUGAUAGGCCGGGUGUGUAAGCGCAGCGAUGCGUUGAGCUAACCGGUACUAAUGAACCGUGAGGCUUAACCUU